rnacentral:piRNA from 1 species
UCUCUUUGCUUCAUACCCACC